UUUCUUUUUCUACAUCGUAUUCACAAAACAGAUGUUUCUCUUUUCUAAAUUUUUUUUAAUGCUUGCUUGGUUAUUCUGGAGUUGUGGCACCUACCGAUUCUCAUUUUUAUUCUCCCCAACUUAUCUUUUACUCACCCCAAGUGAAUGCUCUUGACUUUUUACGGCAAAAGAACAAUUAUCAAAAAAUUUCAGGGUUUCAAGAAAAAAGAUUUUGACAUCUCGCCUUAUUUCAAGCAGAGAUUCAACUGUUUAAGCUCA
rnacentral:lncRNA from 1 species